AGGGUUGGUCAGAACAAGAAGGGUGUGUCAGACUUUGUUUAAAAAGGGCUGUGUCCCGUGCUCUGCUCCCACAUCCCUCUCUUUUUCCUCUUCAAACUCAACAACUCCUACACACAAACCGCCACCAUGUCUGGAAUAUUGACCAUAGUUGCGCUCCUUAGGAAGAACUUUGACAUAUAUGCCUCCCAAGUUGGACACAAGGAACAAAUGAGCAAGCAAGAACUCGCUGCUAUGUGUAGAUGCGAGCUUCGUGGAGCAUAUGAAAAACAGUCAGAGGUGUAUAAACUUCUCCAGAUGCUGGAUCAGGAUUGUGACGGUUCUGUAAAUUUUCGAGAAUUUGUCACUUUUGUUGCAGAUGUUGCUGUGCUCCUGGGCUGUAAUGAAAGCUCUCCAACCUGACUGCUUUGUUUUCUUGUCUCAUCUAAUGUCUAGUAAAACUUCUCUGAAAUAAACUUGCUUUGCCACACUGUUUGUGGUUUAAAAUAAAGUUUGAGCAGGUUAAAGUCACGGUGAAUGUGGUGUAUAAUGUUGACUAAAACAUGGAAAAUAAAGCCUUUCUCACAUGUC